rnacentral:rRNA from 1 species
CACGUAGGGCGCGAGCGUUGUCCGGAAUCAUUGGGCGUAAAGAGCUCGUAGGCGGCUUGGUAAGUCGGAUGUGAAACCUCCAGGCUCAACCCGGAGUCGCCAUCCGAUACUGCCAUGGCUAGAGUCCGGUAGGGGCCCACGGAAUUCCUGGUGUAGCGGUGAAAUGCGCAGAUAUCAGGAGGAACACCGAUGGCGAAGGCAGUGGGCUGGGCCGGCACUGACGCUGAGGAGCGAAAGCGUGGGGAGCGAACAGG